rnacentral:rRNA from 1 species
GACGAACGCUGGCGGCGUGCCUAAUACAUGCAAGUCGAGCGGAACUUAGAAAGCUUGCUUUCUAAGUUUAGCGGCGGACGGGUGAGUAACACGUGGGCAACCUGCCUAUAAGACUGGGAUAACUUCGGGAAACCGGAGCUAAUACCGGAUAAUAUAAAAGAUCACAUGGUCUUUUAUUGAAAGAUGGCUUCGGCUAUCACUUAUAGAUGGGCCCGCGGCGCAUUAGCUAGUUGGUGAGGUAAUGGCUCACCAAGGCGACGAUGCGUAGCCGACCUGAGAGGGUGAUCGGCCACACUGGGACUGAGACACGGCCCAGACUCCUACGGGAGGCAGCAGUAGGGAAUCUUCCGCAAUGGACGAAAGUCUGACGGAGCAACGCCGCGUGAACGAUGAAGGCCUUCGGGUCGUAAAGUUCUGUUGUUAGGGAAGAACAAGUAUCGUUCGAAUAGGGCGGUACCUUGACGGUACCUAACCAGAAAGCCACGGCUAACUACGUG